rnacentral:rRNA from 1 species
CCUACGGGAGGCAGCAGUGAGGAAUAUUGGUCAAUGGACGAGAGUCUGAACCAGCCAAGUAGCGUGAAGGAUGACUGCCCUAUGGGUUGUAAACUUCUUUUAUAAAGGAAUAAAACGAGGCACGUGUGCCCUUUUGCAUGUACUUUAUGAAUAAGGAUCGGCUAACUCCGUGCCAGCAGCCGCGGGAAUACGGAGGAUCGGAGCGUUAUCCGGAUUUAUUGGGUUUAAAGGGAGCGUAGAUGGGUUGUUAAGUCAGGUGUGAAAGUUUGGGGGUCAACCGUAAAAUUGCAAUUGAUACUGGCAGUCUUGAGUACAGUUGAGGUAGGCGGAAUUCGUGGUGUAGCGGUGAAAUGCUUAGAUAUCACGAAGAACCCCGAUUGCGAAGGCAGCUUACUAAACUGUGACUGACAUUGAUGCUCGAAAGUGUGGGUAUCAAACAGGAUUAGAUACCCGAGUAGUC